ACAGCCUUCAGGGGCCAACUCGUCUAUGUCGCAAAAUAGUGAGAUAAUUUAAAGGUAGAGGUGAAAAGCCUACUGAGCCUGAUGAUAGCUGGUUGCCCAGCCAAAGAAUUUUAGUUCAACUUAAAAUUUACC